GCUAAUAUGUAAAUGUCUAACUCCGUUACUACAUUUACCCGUUUUAUUCAUUAUAUGAAUUGUUUAUUCAGAAAAUUUAAAUUGUAAACGUCAGUAAAAGCACGACCUGAGAAAAAAGGAAAAGAAAGAAAUAUUGUGAAUGUUUCGUGUACAGUCACGGUGCGUACGUGUACGGUGUCAGCUCUCCACCGCUUUGUCGGCACGCCACUGCACGUUCCGGUAUCAGCGGCCGACCGCAGCCCACAAACUUAAAGAAAAAAAAAAAACAGUUGGCACAUGGACCACGCGGCGUUGUGUUACUCCGCUAGCCAAUCACAGAAGCAAACAAAGUCGUCGUCAUUCGACGUUUUCAAAAUGGCAUCAUGCUUGAUACCGACGUUUUCUUGAUACCUCCGCAGCGUCUGCUGUUCUUGAAGGGUCUUUUCAUCGGCGGAAGCGAUGAGGUGUGCAACACACAUGGACAAAGUGUAUGGAAUCUGAGCAUUUCACUCUUCGAAGGUCCUCGGGUGCGCUACGAGUCCCCAAGCCCACAAGGGUAUGCACCAUUGAGUUUGGACCUUUUCUGCACUAACACCAGUGCCUGCCCACAUGGUGAUGUUUUUCUCAACAUCUCGGACACAUCUUUUUCCAGAUCCCAGCCACAGACAGCUUCACUGUAAAAAAAGAAAGAGAUAAAGAAAACAGGAUUUCUGCACUCACCCGAGAACCACUGUCCACGCACACUAAGGGAACACAGCUAGCAGCCUGGUUUCGCUUGCGGCAACAGGCACCGUAGAAGCCUUUUUUUCAGCUGAUGCAAUGUGCACCUGAACAGCGUGCUGCACAUGGGGCCGAGCUGCAGAAAUCCCUUCUGUAGCGAACUAAAAAUUCUGCGCGAAUUAUUAGCUGGAGAAAAAGUGCCUGUCAACUGAUCAAUUACAGACGCGACGUGUACUGCAGGCAUGGGGUUGCAAGUGAUUGGGAGUGUUGGAAGUGAUUAAAGAACAAGUUAUACACCAAAUCUGGGAAAGAUCUAUCGAUCAGAAGUGCUAAGUUGUGAUUAAUUUAUACCAUAAAGAAGUGGAAAGCUAUACCUGAGCGCUCUUUAUUGUCAUAUGUAGGACAGUAUUGUUUAUCUGGCUCGGAAGCGAGCACUAUUUUCCUGUCUCUGGCCACGUCGAGGGGCGCUAUUGCGCCUAUUGAACAUAGCAGAAGCAUUAGUAGUCUUAUUUCAAAAUUCAUGCUUUGGAGCAGGCUUACAGAGCCCAGGUAGUUUGGAACAGGAUGGCACAAUUGGCACAUCACUUCCCUUCCAUUGUUGAAAGUUUUGCAG